AUACUGCAGUCUUACACAUGCAGUCGACGGUAACAGGACGAAUCUUGCUUCUUUGCUGACGAGUGGCGGACGGGUGAGUAAUGUCUGGGAAACUGCCUGAUGGAGGGGGAUAACUACUGGAAACGGUAGCUAAUACCGCAUAACGUCGCAAGACCAAAGAGGGGGACCUUCGGGCCUCUUGCCAUCGGAUGUGCCCAGAUGGGAUUAGCUAGUAGGUGGGGUAACGGCUCACCUAGGCGACAAUCCCUAGCUGGUCUGAGAGGAUGACCACCCACCCUGGAACUGAGACACGGUCCAAACUCCUACGGGAGGCAGCAGUGGGGAAUAUUGCACAAUGGGCGCAAGCCUGAUGCACCCAUGCCGCGUGUAUGAAAAAGGCCUUCGGGUUGUAAAGUACUUUCAGCGGGGAGGAAGGGAGUAAAGUUAAUACCUUUGCUCAUUGACGUUACCCGCAGAAGAAGCACCGGCUAACUCCGUGCCAGCAGCCGCGGUAAUACAGAGGGUGCAAGCGUUAAUCGGAAUUACUGGGCGUAAAGCGCACGCAGGCGGUUUGUUAAGUCAGAUGUGAAAUCCCCGGGCUCAACCUGGGAACUGCAUCUGAUACUGGCAAGCUUGAGUCUCGUAGAGGGGGGUAGAAUUCCAGGUGUAGCGUGAAUGCGUAGAGAUCUGGAGGAAUACCGGUGGCGAAUGCGGCCCCCUGGACGAAGACUGACGCUCAGUGCGAAGCGUGGGGGAGCGAACAGGAUUACAUACCCUGCUAGUCCACGCCGUAACUAUGUCGACUUGGAAGCUUGUGCCCUUGAAGGCUGGCUUACGGAGCUACGCCUACUCGACCGCCUGGUGGAGUACGCCGCAAGUUAGAACUCAAUGAAUGGACGGGGCCGCACGAGCGUUGAUCAAGUGGUAUGAUCGAUGGCACCCUGUAACAACGCUUUACAUUGGCCU
rnacentral:rRNA from 1 species